AUUCCGCUUCGCAACCGUCCAUGUAUGGGUUUCCAAUAAAUGGUGGAACACACUUGCAUUUUCCAAUGCCAUCCUCCUCGACACAGACCGCGUUCUUUCCGCAAGGAACUAGCAGACAAGAUCGUUAAAAAUUUAACAAACAUUUACCUGCGCAACUCUGAUAAGGAUUUCCAACGGUAUGCUCCGGACAAUAACAAGGAGGUACUCUAUCCGAGUCACACUUAGCGCCAAGUCCACAAGGAUUAGGACUACACUGAUCAGACUUAGGCACGCAUCCCCUGAUCGUAUUUGGACUCUCGAUGUAUCCUGGUCCACAAGGAGAUGGUUCGCAAGGGUUGCUAGGAAGCGUGCAAGGGGAAGCAGGUGGUUUCCCCUCGUAUCCUGGCAAACAGAAGCAUCUCACUUGCCCUGACACCACGCGACACCCAGAAUUAACGCCACAUGGAUUUUCUUGGCACUGGUCACCUUCUGUCAAUCCUUUCGGACAGAAGCAUAUAGGAUUGCCAUUAUCGUUCUCGCACAUGGCGUCUAAACCACAAGGGUUUGGAACACACGGAUUGGUGGUCGUUAGUGUGCAUCCAACUUCAGGAUUUCCUUGGAAUCCAGGCAAACACUUGCAUUGAGCUUGAUGAUUCUCUGGAUAACAAUUAGCGUUCACACCGCAAUCGUUCUCCAAGCAUGGGUCGAUGCACUUCCGGUUAAGGCGAUCGCAAUAUUUGCUCGAUGGACAAUCUUCGUUGUAUUGGCAUAUGUUUCUGCUUUCUUCUUCUGAAACGUUGUGAAUUCACAAAUAUUUAUAACAUUUAUAUCAUAUCUGUUUUAUCUGUUUUAUGUUUAUAUCUAGGUAUAUCUUAUAUUUAUGAAGCAAAAUAUAUAUAUGUAAAAUGCUACAUGCAUCAGUCUUUCGCAAACAACGUAUUUUAAUGUAAAAUAAAUUGUAAUAGAAAUUAAAAUAUGAAGAUUACAUUAAUCUUUCUAAAAUUUGAUAAUUAUAUAUAAAUAUCGAAAAAAUUUGGUGUAUUUAUAUAACGAAGAAAUUACCUGGUUCACAGUAGGAGAAUCCAUUUCCAUGAUAACCGUCCUCGCAGCUGCAAUCCGCUUGGUGAUUGGUGUUAACGCAGAUCGCGUUUUUGGUGCAAGGAUUCCAAACGAGAACAAGUUGAAUGAGCGCUGUAAAAAGAAACGAAAUGAUGGAUGAUGAUGUACUCGUUCUUGUACGAACCUUUUACGCAAGUAUACGUCGCUGGAUCGCACUCCAUACCCGCUGGACAGUAGGGACAGUCUGUCUUAUCGUUUAUUACAUCUGAGAAAAUUGGAAAAAAAGAUCAAUUUCGUGGAAAAUUUGCUGUUUCUUCUGGUAAAAAUGGGAUGCAAAUGGCGGGACAUAACAUUUUUUAACUGAUAGAGAUUUUUGAACGUCAAAUGAUACAAAUUCAGUUAUUAUUCGAUUACCGAUUUUCAAAUUCUAAGCACUUUGAAAUUAAACUUUCAAAAUCUCUUAGACAUCAAUUUGUGAACUUUGAGAAUAAGUAUUAAGUAUCAAAUGUCCUGGUUUUAAGUUUCGAAGUUGUAUCAAUUGAUCUUUAUCUUCUUCCAACCAAAUUUUGCAUCCAAUUUUGUCUCAGAUUAAUUUUUCUUUCUAAUAUUCUACCUUUCACGCAAACAG
rnacentral:misc_RNA from 1 species